rnacentral:lncRNA from 1 species
CUUAAGGUGGUACCUAACACUACAGGGAGAUAACUCUGUAAAGUCAGCUAAACGUUUUAAUUACGUUGUGUUGUAAGAGGAAUAUUAAGCUUCUCAAUUAUCAAAAUUGGUGUUUGUCAAAUUGCUAUAUAACCAGUGUAAUUUUUCUGACAAAACGGUUGGUUCAAAAAAUUAAAAAUUUUUAUAUUUUUAUUUAAGUCGCAAAGUAAAUACUUUGACAAA